rnacentral:lncRNA from 1 species
UUGAAGAAAAUUUAAUUAAAAUAAAAAAAAAGAAAAUGUAAAUUACGUGGACCAUCAGAUCUCCAUAAUUAAUUGAGGUGGCAGAUUUGAUGAUCCAAAACACACGUUCUACAAAGACCUGAGUCAACCGCGUGGCACAGAUGGUAUUUAAAACAAACGUUCAAGAUUAAAACGUGAGAGGAGGAUCCUAUGGUUCAGAUGCAAGACACCUCAUCGUCGGAGCCAGAGCUCCGGUCAUCUUCUCCGAUGAGCCUCACCGGACUGGUCAAC